rnacentral:rRNA from 1 species
UACGGAGGGUGCGAGCGUUGUUCGGAAUCACUGGGCGUAAAGGGCGUGUAGGCGGCCCGCUAAGUCUGAUGUGAAAGCCCCGGGCUCAACCCGGGAAGUGCAUUCGAAACUGGCGGGCUUGAAUAUGGAAGAGGGUCGCGGAAUUCCCGGUGUAGAGGUGAAAGUUCGUAGAUAUCGGGAGGAACACCAGUGGCGAAGGCGGCGACCUGGGCAUUACCUGGACGCUGAGGAGCGAAAGUGUGGGGAGCAAACAGG